rnacentral:rRNA from 1 species
AUUGAACGCUGGCGGCAUGCCUUACACAUGCAAGUCGAACGGCAGCACGGGGGGUAACCCCUGGUGGCGAGUGGCGAACGGGUGAGUAAUAUAUCGGAACGUGUCCUGUAGCGGGGGAUAACCUAUCGAAAGAUGGACUAAUACCGCAUACGACCUACGGGUGAAAGCGGAGGACCGCAAGGCUUCGCACUAUAGGAGCGGCCGAUAUCGGAUUAGCUAGUUGGCGGGGUAACGGCCCACCAAGGCGACGAUCCGUAGCUGGUCUGAGAGGACGACCAGCCACACUGGAACUGAGACACGGUCCAGACUCCUACGGGAGGCAGCAGUGGGGAAUUUUGGACAAGGGGCGCAAGCCUGAGCCAGCCAUGCCGCGGGAGUGAAGAAGGCCUUCGGGUUGUAAAGCUCUUUCGGCGGGGACGAAACGGUUCGUGCUAAUACCACGGACUACUGACGGUACCCGCAGAAGAAGCACCGGCUAACUACGU